GAUGAACGCUGACAGCAUGCUUAACACAUGCAAGUCAACCUGAAUUUGGGUUUUUAACCUAGGUUUGGGUGGCGGACGGGUGAGUAACGCGUAAAGAACUUGCCUCACAGCUAGGGACAACAUUUGGAAACGAAUGCUAAUACCUAAUAUUAUGAUAAUAGGGCCUCCUAUAAUUAUGAAAGCUAUAAGCGCUGUGAGAGAGCUUUGCGUCCCAUUAGCUAGUUGGGGAGGUAACUGCUCACCAAGGCGACGAUGGGUAGCCGGCCUGAGAGGGUGAUCGGCCACACUGGAACUGAGACACGGUCCAGACUCCUACGGGAGGCAGCAGUAGGGAAUAUUGAGGAAUGGGCGAAAGACGGAUGGAGCAAUGCCGCGUGAGUGAAGAAGGUAUUCUGAUCGUAAAACUAUGUUAGUAGGGAAGAAAAAAAGUGUAAGUAAAUAUGGACGUCUUGACGGUACCUAAUCAGAAAGCAACGGCUAACUACGUG
rnacentral:rRNA from 1 species